rnacentral:rRNA from 1 species
UACGGAAGGCAGCAGUGGGGAAUAUUGCACAAUGGGCGCAAGCCUGAUGCAGCCAUGCCGCGUGUAUGAAGAAGGCCUUCGGGUUGUAAAGUACUUUUCAGUCGUGAGGAAGGUGUUAAGGUUAAUAACCUUAGCAAUUGACGUUAGCGACAGAAGAAGCACCGGCUAACUCCGUGCCAGCAGCCGCGGUAAUACGGAGGGUGCGAGCGUUAAUCGGAAUUACUGGGCGUAAAGGGCACGCAGGCGGUUAAUUAAGUUGGAUGUGAAAUCCCCGGGCUUAACCUGGGAAUGGCAUUCAAGACUGGUUAGCUAGAGUCUUGUAGAGGGGGUAGAAUUCCAUGUGUAGCGGUGAAAUGCGUAGAGAUGUGGAGGAAUACCGGUGGCGAAGGCGGCCCCUGGACAAAGACUGACGCUCAUGUGCGAAAGCGUGGGGAGCAAAC